rnacentral:rRNA from 1 species
CUACGGGGGGCUGCAGUGGGGAAUAUUGCACAAUGGGCGCAAGCCUGAUACAGCCAUGCCGCGUGUAUGAAGAAGGCCUUCGGGUUGUAAAGUACUUUCAGCGGGGAGGAAGGGAGUAAAGUUAAUACCUUUGCUCAUUGACGUUACCCGCAGAAGAAGCACCGGCUAACUCCGUGCCAGCAGCCGCGGUAAUACGGAGGGUGCAAGCGUUAAUCGGAAUUACUGGGCGUAAAGCGCACGCAGGCGGUUUGUUAAGUCAGAUGUGAAAUCCCCGGGCUCAACCUGGGAACUGCAUCUGAUACUGGCAGGCUUGAGUCUCGUAGAGGGGGGUAGAAUUCCAGGUGUAGCGGUGAAAUGCGUAGAGAUCUGGAGGAAUACCGGUGGCGAAGGCGGCCCCCUGGACGAAGACUGACGCUCAGGUGCGAAAGCGUGGGGAGCAAACAGGAUUAGAUACCCUAGUAGUC